GAUGAACGCUAGCGGCAGGCCUAACACAUGCAAGUCGUGGGGCAGCAUGGGGUAGCAAUACUCUGAUGGCGACCGGCAAACGGGUGCGGAACACGUACGCAACCUUCCCAAAACUGGUGAAUAGCCCUCCGAAAGGAGGAUUAAUACACCGUAACAUAACGAAGUGGCAUCACUUUGUUAUUAUAGCUCCGGCGGUUUUGGAUGGGCGUGCGCCUGAUUAGGUAGUUGGCGGGGUAACGGCCCACCAAGCCUACGAUCAGUAACUGGUGUGAGAGCACGACCAGUCACACGGGCACUGAGACACGGGCCCGACUCCUACGGGAGGCAGCAGUAAGGAAUAUUGGUCAAUGGACGCAAGUCUGAACCAGCCAUGCCGCGUGAAGGAUGAAGGUCCUCUGGAUUGUAAACUUCUUUUAUCUGGGACGAAAAAGGGCUUUCUAGCUCACUUGACGGUACCAGAGGAAUAAGCACCGGCUAACUCCGUGCCAGCAGCCGCGGUAAU
rnacentral:rRNA from 1 species